rnacentral:lncRNA from 1 species
CUAAUUGCUCAUUCAUAACCAAAAAAUACACUUUUCACCUCACACCUUUCAAACAUCUUUUUUGGAAAAUCACCACUUAGCAUACAUCCGUACUAGGAUCAUUGCCAAGUUAUAUUUUUCUAAACUAUUUUCGAAAAACUAAACGAGAUAACCACUUUGUAUACAUUCAUGCAAGAAUCAUUACAAAGUUAAAUUCUCGUUUUCAAAACAUU